rnacentral:ncRNA from 1 species
CUUGAAACUUGAAGCCACGAGCAUCUUAAUCUCGGAUCAGAGUGCCAAGUGGGCCAUUUUGGUAAGCAGAACUGGCGCUGUCGGAUGAACCAAACGCAGAGUUAAAGCGCCCAACUCGACGCUCAUGGGACACCAUGAAAGGCGUUGGUUGCUUAAGACAGCAGGACGGUGGCCAUGGAAGUCGGAAUCCGCUAAGGAGUGUGUAACAACUCACCUGCCGAAGCACUAGCCCUGAAAAUGGAUGGCGCUGAAGCGUCGAGCAUAUUCUCUGCGUCAGCGGCAAGUGGGGUGGUGCGAGCGCGCGAGCGCGAGCGCCGUCACGAGGCCCUGACGAGUAGGAGGGUCGCGGCGGUGUGCGCAGUAGGGUCUGGGCGCGAGCCUGCCUGGAGCCGCCGUCGGUGCAGAUCUUGGUGGUAAUAGCAAAUACUCCAGCGAGGCCCUUGAGGACUGACGUGGAGAAGGGUUUCGUGUGAACAACCAUUGCACACGAGUCAGUCGAUUCUAAGCCCUAGGAGAAAUCCUAUGUCAAUGACGGCGUACUUAUACUCAAG